GAUGCCUUUAGAUGUUUGGGGCGCCCGCGCGGUACCAUGACAGGAGCCAGGAGUUUAUCACCUUGGCCGGAAGGUCUGGGUAAUCUUGUGAAACUCUGUCGUGCUGGGGAUAGAGCAUUGCAAUUAUUGCUCUUCAACGAGGAAUUCCUAGUAAGCGCGAGUCAUCAGCUCGCGUUGAUUACGUCCCUGCCCCUUG
rnacentral:rRNA from 1 species